rnacentral:snRNA from 1 species
GCAUGUGAGAGCAAUCUGGCUGCAACAUCUAAUAACCGGUUUAACUGAUCUGGCUGGCUAGGUGGGUGCCCCCUUCUUCCCUCACUACUCCACACCUGUCCCUCCCAAAGCUGCCUGACGAUUCCGAACAGAGGCAGGUAUAGAGGAGUAUGUGAGUAGCUGCCCUCCCCGGCUCUCAAGCUUAAACACCCAGAGUGAUAGAGAACCAGGGAAAAGAUUUUUGACCUAACACUCAUCUUGACCUUCAGGUCA